AGAGCAUAUGGUGGAUGCCUUGGCGAUUACAGGCGACGAAGGACGUGAUAGCCUGCGAUAAGCUUCGGGGAGCUGGCAAAUAAGCUUUGAUCCGGAGAUUUCCGAAUGGGGAAACCCACCCUUAGGGGUAUCGCAUGAUGAAUACAUAGUCAUGCGAAGCGAACCGGGUGAACUGAAACAUCUCAGUAGCUCGAGGAAAAGACAUCAACCGAGAUUCCGAAAGUAGUGGCGAGCGAAAUCGGAACAGCCUGUUAGUGAUAGCACAAGACUUAACGGAACAGCUUGGAAAAGCUGGCCAUAGCGGGUGAUAGCCCCGUACGUGAAAAGACCUGUGUGGUACUGAGCUAACGACAAGUAGGGCGGGACACGUGUAAUCCUGUCUGAACAUGGGGGGACCAUCCUCCAAGGCUAAAUACUCGUAAUCGACCGAUAGUGAACUAGUACCGUGAGGGAAAGGCGAAAAGAACCCCGGGAGGGGAGUGAAAUAGAUCCUGAAACCGUAUGCUUACAAAAAGUAGGAGCCCGCAAGGGUGACUGCGUACCUUUUGUAUAAUGGGUCAGCGACUUACAUUCAGUGGCAAGGUUAACCGAAUAGGGUAGCCGCAGGGAAACCGAGUCCGAAUAGGGCGUCCAGUCGCUGGGUGUAGACCCGAAACCAAGUGAUCUAUCCAUGGCCAGGAUGAAGGUGCCGUAACAGGUACUGGAGGUCCGAACCGACUAGUGUUGCAAAACUAGCGGAUGAGCUGUGGAUAGGGGUGAAAGGCUAAACAAACUUGGAAAUAGCUGGUUCUCUCCGAAAACUAUUUAGGUAGUGCCUCAAGUAUUACCAUCGGGGGUAGAGCACUGUUUAGGCUAGGGGGUCAUGGCGACUUACCAAACCUAUGCAAACUCCGAAUACCGAUGAGUACAGCUUGGGAGACAGAGCACCGGGUGCUAACGUCCGGACUCAAGAGGGAAACAACCCAGACCGCCAGCUAAGGUCCCUAAAAUUGGCUAAGUGGGAAACGAAGUGGGAAGGCUAAAACAGUCAGGAUGUUGGCUUAGAAGCAGCCAUCAUUUAAAGAAAGCGUAAUAGCUCACUGAUCGAGUCGUCCUGCGCGGAAGAUGUAACGGGGCUAAGCCAGUUACCGAAGCUGCGGAUUUGCACGCAAGUGCAAGUGGUAGGAGAGCGUUCUGUAAGCCUGUGAAGGUGCGUUGUAAAGCGCGCUGGAGGUAUCAGAAGUGCGAAUGCUGACAUGAGUAGCGUUAAAGGGGGUGAAAAGCCCCCUCGCCGUAAGCGCAAGGUUUUCUACGCAACGUUCAUCGGCGUAGAGUGAGUCGGCCCCUAAGGCGAGGCAGAGAUGCGUAGCUGAUGGGAAACAGGUCAAUAUUCCUGUACCGAUGUGUAGUGCGAUGUGGGGACGGAGAAGGUUAGCUCAGCCAACUGUUGGAUAUGUUGGUUCAAGCCUGUAGUCGUGCCUGGUAGGUAAAUCCGCCGGGCUUAGAUGAGGGGUGAUAACGAGGCAGCUUGCUGCCGAAGUGAGUGAUACCCUGCUUCCAGGAAAAGCCACUAAGCUUCAGCUACACACGACCGUACCGCAAACCGACACUGGUGCGCGAGAUGAGUAUUCUAAGGCGCUUGAGAGAACUCAGGAGAAGGAACUCGGCAAAUUGACACCGUAACUUCGGAAGAAGGUGUGCCUUUAGUAGGUGAAGUCCCUCGCGGAUGGAGCCCAAUGAGGUUGCAAAAAAUCGGUGGCUGCGACUGUUUAAUAAAAACACAGCACUCUGCAAACACGAAAGUGGACGUAUAGGGUGUGACGCCUGCCCGGUGCUGGAAGAUUAAAUGAUGGGGUGCAAGCUCUUGAUUGAAGUCCCAGUAAACGGCGGCCGUAACUAUAACGGUCCUAAGGUAGCGAAAUUCCUUGUCGGGUAAGUUCCGACCUGCACGAAUGGCGUAACGAUGGCCACACUGUCUCCUCCUGAGACUCAGCGAAGUUGAAAUGUUUGUGAUGAUGCAAUCUCCCCGCGGAAAGACGGAAAGACCCCAUGAACCUUUACUGUAGCUUUGUAUUGGACUUUGAACGGAUCUGUGUAGGAUAGGUGGGAGGCUUUGAAGCCCGGUCGCUAGAUC
rnacentral:rRNA from 1 species